UUAGGCAGCGAGAGCAUAACCCUGAGCAUUGUUGUCAUUUGC
rnacentral:tmRNA from 1 species